UGGAUUGAUUUGUUUGUUGAGAAAAUACUCGACGUUGGAUCGAGUCAUAUUUUUUUGUAUUUUUUGAAAUUUGUUGAUUUUAUUCUUGUGUUAGUAUCUAACUAAAAAGUCAAGUAAUAAAGAAAUAAAAUAGUACAAGAUUAUUACACAUCGGGGGAGUGGGGUACACUUUGUCAAAUGGGGAUUAAAAAAAUCAUGAAAUAAAUAAAAUCGGGCCCAAACAAAUAACGCAUGAGUGUAAGUGCAAGGGAACCGGCU
rnacentral:lncRNA from 1 species